GGAGGGUUCGCCUAAUGGUAUGGCACCGGUCUUGAAAACCGGCGGGGUAAAACCCUUAGAGGUUCGAGUCCUCUACCCUCCGCCA
rnacentral:tRNA from 1 species